UUGAAGAGUUUGAUCAUGGCUCAGAUUGAACGCUGGCGGCAGGCCUAACACAUGCAAGUCGAACGGUAACAGGAAUCAGCUUGCUGAUUCGCUGACGAGUGGCGGACGGGUGAGUAAUGUCUGGGAAACUGCCUGAUGGAGGGGGAUAACUACUGGAAACGGUAGCUAAUACCGCAUAACGUCGCAAGACCAAAGAGGGGGACCUUCGGGCCUCUUGCCAUCGGAUGUGCCCAGAUGGGAUUAGCUUGUUGGUGGGGUAACGGCUCACCAAGGCGACGAUCCCUAGCUGGUCUGAGAGGAUGACCAGCCACACUGGAACUGAGACACGGUCCAGACUCCUACGGGAGGCAGCAGUGGGGAAUAUUGCACAAUGGGCGCAAGCCUGAUGCAGCCAUGCCGCGUGUAUGAAGAAGGCCUUCGGGUUGUAAAGUACUUUCAGCGGGGAGGAAGGGAGUAAAGUUAAUACCUUUGCUCAUUGACGUUACCCGCAGAAGAAGCACCGGCUAACUCCGUGCCAGCAGCCGCGGUAAUACGGAGGGUGCAAGCGUUAAUCGGAAUUACUGGGCGUAAAGCGCACGCAGGCGGUUUGUUAAGUCAGAUGUGAAAUCCCCGGGCUCAACCUGGGAACUGCAUCUGAUACUGGCAAGCUUGAGUCUCGUAGAGGGGGGUAGAAUUCCAGGUGUAGCGGUGAAAUGCGUAGAGAUCUGGAGGAAUACCGGUGGCGAAGGCGGCCCCCUGGACGAAGACUGACGCUCAGGUGCGAAAGCGUGGGGAGCAAACAGGAUUAGAUACCCUGGUAGUCCACGCCGUAAACGAUGUCGACUUGGAGGUUGUGCCCUUGAGGCGUGGCUUCCGGAGCUAACGCGUUAAGUCGACCGCCUGGGGAGUACGGCCGCAAGGUUAAAACUCAAAUGAAUUGACGGGGGCCCGCACAAGCGGUGGAGCAUGUGGUUUAAUUCGAUGCAACGCGAAGAACCUUACCUGGUCUUGACAUCCACAGAACUUUCCAGAGAUGGAUUGGUGCCUUCGGGAACUGUGAGACAGGUGCUGCAUGGCUGUCGUCAGCUCGUGUUGUGAAAUGUUGGGUUAAGUCCCGCAACGAGCGCAACCCUUAUCCUUUGUUGCCAGCGGUCCGGCCGGGAACUCAAAGGAGACUGCCAGUGAUAAACUGGAGGAAGGUGGGGAUGACGUCAAGUCAUCAUGGCCCUUACGACCAGGGCUACACACGUGCUACAAUGGCGCAUACAAAGAGAAGCGACCUCGCGAGAGCAAGCGGACCUCAUAAAGUGCGUCGUAGUCCGGAUUGGAGUCUGCAACUCGACUCCAUGAAGUCGGAAUCGCUAGUAAUCGUGGAUCAGAAUGCCACGGUGAAUACGUUCCCGGGCCUUGUACACACCGCCCGUCACACCAUGGGAGUGGGUUGCAAAAGAAGUAGGUAGCUUAACCUUCGGGAGGGCGCUUACCACUUUGUGAUUCAUGACUGGGGUGAAGUCGUAACAAGGUAACCGUAGGGGAACCUGCGGUUGGAUCACCUCCUU
rnacentral:rRNA from 1 species